rnacentral:rRNA from 1 species
AAUCGUCGGGUUAGCAAUAAUUCGGCGGUUCUAGUGGCGCACGGGUGAGUAACACGUGGGUAACCUGCCCUAGAGUUCGGGAUACCCUCUCGAAAGGGAGGCUAAUACCGGAUACGGUCCUCGGGUCGACAGAUCUGGGGAAGAAAGGUGGCGCAAGCUGCCGCUCUUGGAGGGGCUCGCGGCCUAUCAGCUAGUUGGCGGGGUAACGGCCCACCAAGGCUAUGACGGGUAGCUGGUCUGAGAGGACGACCAGCCACACGGGGACUGAGACACGGCCCCGACUCCUACGGGAGGCAGCAGUGGGGAAUUUUCCGCAAUGGGCGAAAGCCUGACGGAGUGACGCCGCGUGUGGGACGAAGGCCUUCGGGUCGUAAACCACUGUCAGUGGGAAAGAUGGGUGCCGGCGCGACAACCGCCGGUAUCUGACGGUACCUGCAGAGGAAGCCCCGGCCAACUCUGUGCCAGCAGCCGCGGUAAGACAGAGGGGGCAAGCGUUGCUCGGAAUUACUGGGCGUAAAGGGCGCGUAGGCGGAAUGGCAAGUCGGUCGUGAAAUCCUUCGGCUCAACCGAAGAACGUCGAUCGAAACUGCCGUUCUUGAGGAUUGCAGAGGAGACUGGAAUUCCCGGUGUAGCGGUGAAAUGUGUAGAGAUCGGGAGGAACACCGGUGGCGAAGGCGGGUCUCUGGGCAAUUCCUGACGCUGAGGCGCGAAAGCGUGGGGAGCAAACGGGAUUAGAUACCCCGGUAGUCCACGCUGUAAACGAUGACGACUAGGUG